GGUUGCGAUCAUACCAGCACUAAUGCACCGGAUCCCAUCAGAACUCCGCAGUUAAGCGUGCUUGGGCGAGAGUAGUACUAGGAUGGGUGACCCCCUGGGAAGUCCUCGUAUUGCAACCC
rnacentral:rRNA from 1 species